rnacentral:rRNA from 1 species
GACGAACGCUGGCGGCGUGCUUAACACAUGCAAGUCGAACGAAGAGCGAUGGAAGCUUGCUUCUAUCAAUCUUAGUGGCGAACGGGUGAGUAACGCGUAAUCAACCUGCCCUUCAGAGGGGGACAACAGUUGGAAACGACUGCUAAUACCGCAUACGAUCCAAUCUCGGCAUCGGGACUGGAUGAAAGGUGGCCUCUAUUUAUAAGCUACCACUGAAGGAGGGGAUUGCGUCUGAUUAGCUAGUUGGAGGGGUAACGGCCCACCAAGGCGAUGAUCAGUAGCCGGUCUGAGAGGAUGAACGGCCACAUUGGGACUGAGACACGGCCCAGACUCCUACGGGAGGCAGCAGUGGGGAAUCUUCCGCAAUGGACGAAAGUCUGACGGAGCAACGCCGCGUGAGUGAUGACGGCCUUCGGGUUGUAAAGCUCUGUUAAUCGGGACGAAUGGUUCUUGUGCGAAUAGUGCGAGGAUUUGACGGUACCGGAAUAGAAAGCCACGGCUAACUACGU